rnacentral:rRNA from 1 species
UACAGGGGAUGCAAGUGUUAUCCGGAAUUAUUAGGUCUAAAACAUCCGUAGCUUGCUUAAUAAGUUCUUUGUGAAAUCCUAUCUCUUAAGGAUAGGGCGAGCGAAGAAUACUAUUAUGGCUAGAGACUGGAAGACGUAAGAAGUACGUUUAAAGUAGCGGUAAAAUGCGUUAAUCUUAGACGGACUCACAAUAGCGAAGGCAUCUUACGAGGACAGUUCUGACAGUAAGGGAUGAAGGCUAGGGGCGCAAAAA